rnacentral:rRNA from 1 species
UACGAAGGGGGCUAGCGUUGCUCGGAAUCACUGGGCGUAAAGCGCACGUAGGCGGGUUGCUAAGUCAGGGGUGAAAUCCUGGAGCUCAACUCCAGAACUGCCUUUGAUACUGGGGAUCUCGAGUCCGGGAGAGGUGAGUGGAACUCCGAGUGUAGAGGUGAAAUUCGUAGAUAUUCGGAAGAACACCAGUGGCGAAGGCGGCUCACUGGCCCGGUACUGACGCUGAGGUGCGAAAGCGUGGGGAGCAAACAGG